GCCCGAGGGGUGGGAACGGGGCCGGGCAGGGGGAGAUAAAGCCGGGAUGAGCAGCCCCGGUGCUCCCAGCCCAGCCCGGAGCUGCUUCCCCCCAUCCCUGUGCCAGGUGAACCUAAUGGCCACAGAAAAAAAGAGCUCAUCUCAGCAUGACCAAGAUGAACAAAUGGAGUCCACAACAACUGUGGCUGAUGGCAGUCUGGCUAAGAAAGGCAUAGCAAAGAUAUUCAAAGGCAUAGAAAUUAUGCUCGAUGAAUCAACAACUGUGGCUGAUGGCAGUCUGGCUAAGAAAGGCAGAUCAAAGAUAUUGAAAGGUGUAGAAAUGAUAAUUGAAACAUUCGGUAAGUGUGCUGGAUCCCAUUGCUCUUGUCAGAGGCCAUCCUUGGGAACCCUUGGGAUGGGAUGGGAUGGGAUGGGAUGGGA
rnacentral:lncRNA from 1 species